CACGUAGUUAGCCGUGGCUUCCUCCUCAGGUACCGUCAUUAUCGUCCCUGAAGACAGAGCUUUACAACCCGAAGGCCGUCAUCACUCACGCGGCGUUGCUGCAUCAGGGUUUCCCCCCAUUGUGCAAUAUUCCCCCACUGCUGCCUCCCGUAGGAGUCUGGGCCGUGUCUCAGUCCCAAUGUGGCCGAUCACCCUCUCAGGUCGGCUACGCAUCGUCGCCUUGGUGAGCCGUUACCUCACCAACUAGCUAAUGCGCCGCGGGCCCAUCUCAUAGCGGAUUACUCCUUUAAUUGCUACUUCAUGCGAAGCUACAAUCUUAUGCGGUAUUAAUCUCCCUUUCGGAAGGCUAUUCCCCUCUAUGAGGCAGGUUGCCCACGUGUUACUCACCCGUCCGCCGCUAGCUUUGUUCCGAAGACUCCACUCGCUCGACUUGCAUGUGUUAGGCACGCCGCCAGCGUUCGUCCUGUACGCCAGGGAUACAAACUCUCUGACGUACG
rnacentral:rRNA from 1 species